UCGCUACUACCGAUUGAAUGGCUUAGUGAGGCCUUUGGAUUGAAAUCGAAGAAGCGGUUCUCCGUUUAAUCGAUUUCGAGAAAAUCGUCAAACUUGGUCAUUUAGAGGAAGUAA
rnacentral:rRNA from 1 species